AAGUGCGCCUGCGCGUUAGCCAGAGGUUGAAGAUGGCGUUAAAGUUCUGCUAGCUUCAUUCCUCAACCUUUCUUCGUCACUGUCCUGGCCCUCUAGUGGCGAUCUGCGCUUGCGCAAGCAGCCUUGUCUCUACUGACAGAGCUGAUUAUGUGAAGUUCAGCUGACAGAAACGGAACUGACUGCGAUUCAUCUCUGUGACCUGGGACAAGUCACUUCAGUUCUCGGAGUUUCCUCUUGCUUAUCCUGGAGAUAAUGACCCUUAUUCUUUCUACCUAGCAGAAUUGUUGUGAGGAUUAAAAUAAAACAAUGAAUAGAAUGCCAA